UGUUGAAUUGAGGCCCACAGGGAACAGGGCCCAGCAAAUCCCUGGACCUCCUGGUAUUUGGUAUAAACAUAGCAGCUAACCUGGACUGGCUUCCACAGAGCUAAGACAUUUUCUUUUUUGCACACAGAGCAGUAUGCUCCAAAAUUAUAUGUACAUGUUGCAAAAGUAUAUAUUUUGUUCCAAAUAUAUGCUCUAAAAUUAUAUAUAAUAUAUAUAUAUUUUAUAUAUAUAUAAUUUCUUUGAGUCAGGGUCUUGCUCUGUUGCCCAGGCUGGAGUUCAGUGGUGUGAUCAUAACUUACCUCAGCCUUGAACUCCUGGGAUCAAGCAACUCUCCUGCCUCAGCCACUUGAGUAGCUUGGGCUACAGGUGGUCCUGGAGUGAUGAAAGUGAGGGAAGCCAUCGAAGAGAACAGUGCCUGGAUUCAAGUGCCUGCUCUGUCCCUGACAGGCUGGAAAGAUCUUGAACAAGUCGUCUCCCCCUGAUGAACUUCAGACUGUAAACUAAGAGGAUGUACUGGGGCAAUGUUGAACGUGGGGUGUGUUCUUCCUUGUUCCAGGAGACCAGGGCUUCCCAUGGUGUCUCAGGCACUGGGCAGGAAGAAAGGUGAGGCUUCCACUCCCAACAGCUUCAACUAGAGGCAGCUUUCACUAGCUUUACAAAUGCAGCUUCUUACAGAAGUUGGUUUGAAAAUAAGGUUUCAUUGGUUAAAAAGUCUGAAAAUGUUCUUCUCAGCCCCAAAAUAGAAUAUUUAUAUACUACGCUUUUGUAAACGAUAACUAACCAAAAAGCUAAUGAUAUCAAAAUAAGUUCAGCUGGCGUGCGGCUUGUUUCAGGAAGUCUGUUCAAGAGGAAAGUAUAGCCAAAUAAUAACAGAUAAUGUGUUUGAUCACAGGCUAUCCCAGGCACUGAGCUAUAUAUACUAAUGAAUCUUGGAAAAACAAAACCAAUAAACAAAAUAAAACCACCACUAGGAGGUACGUUUUAUAAAUAACUCCACUUUACAGAUGAGGAUACUGAGGCUCAGAGAAGUGAAGUGGCUUGGCUUAGCU
rnacentral:lncRNA from 1 species